AGAAUGAGAGAGAAGGAAAAUAUCAGAGAGUUAGGAGAACAUCCAGAGAGUAGAAGGAGAAGGAAAAUAUUCAGAGAGACAAAACAGCCAUUUCUGCAUAGUGAUAAGAAAAGAGAAUAUAGAACACAGAAUGAAGAACACAGAAGAAUAAAGGAAACCAUCAAGAGAGAGUGCAGGGUUUCACUGUGUAACUCUGGCAGGCAUGGAACUUGCUAUGCAGAUCAGACUGUUCCUGAACUUAACAGAAAUCUGUAUAUUUCUACCCUCCAAUGCUGGGAUGAAAGAUAGGAAUGAAGCAACAAAGUGAUAUUCUGCUCUACUCAUAGCUCAGCCAUCGCUGGAGAAGCUUCCUCCUACAACAGAUGGGGAUGAAUACAGCUGGACAAGAUGCUUGUUUGUUUUCUAAUGAGGAAGAGCAAGAAAGAAUGUAGAUUUGGAGAGGUGGGGAGGAUCUGGAAAGAGUUGGAAGAGGGCGACCAUAAUCAGAAUAUAUUGUAUGAAAGAAAAUCUGCUUUCAAUAAAAAAAAAAAACAAAGUUAAAAAACCCUAACUAUUUCAAGGCACAUUUAAUUUAAUUUCAAUAGAUCAAUAUGAAAGCUACUCCCCAUGGAACACCAAAGACAAUGCUGUUUACCAUGUGCCUACUGAAUGAGAUGGUUUAUUGAAUAAUGGAAUGAGUCUCAUCACAACCAAUACCUUACACAAUCUAGUUGUGAAAUGGAUGCUUAAAAUGCUCUAAACAGUUUAAACCUGAAGUUUAAGACCACACCUUCACAUUAUCACAUUCCUCAGUUACAGUUACUUACAGUUUCCACAAGCAUUCAAAGAACAACAUGAUUUAUAUGAACCCCAUGGAUUUAAGGCUCCAUUAUGUAAUAUAGAGCUCAGAGCUAAAUGCAGAAAUAGAUCUGCUACUUGUACUACUGGUAGCUAUAACUUGAUUGUCUCAUGACUAUUAGAAGCUGGUUGU